rnacentral:rRNA from 1 species
GCUUGGCCCUAAACCUCAGUAAUUAGAUAACAAAACUACUCGCCAGAAUACUACAAGCAACAGCUUGAAACUCAAAGGACUUGACGGUGCUUUACACCCCCCUAGAGGAGCCUGUUCCGUAAUCGAUAAACCCCGAUCCACCCUACCCUCUCUUGCUCAGCCUAUAUACCGCCAUCUUCAGCAAACCCUAAUGAAGGCCACAAAGUGAGCGCAAACGCCACCGCCGCGAAUACGUUAGGUCAAGGUGUAGCCCAUGAGACGGUAAAAAAUGGGCUACAUUUUCUAUUUCAGAAAACCCCACGAAAACCCUUAUGAAACUUAAGGGUCCAAGGAGGAUUUAGCAGUAAAUUAAGAAUAGAGUGCUUAAUUGAACCAGGCCAUAAAGCGCG